rnacentral:rRNA from 1 species
UAAUACGUAGGGAGCGAGCGUUGUCCGGAAUUACUGGGCGUAAAGGGCGCGUAGGCGGGUAUUUAAGUCAGAUGUGAAAACUCCGGGCUCAACUUGGAGAUUGCAUUUGAAACUGGGUAUCUUGAGGGCAGGAGAGGAAAGUGGAAUUCCUAGUGUAGCGGUGAAAUGCGUAGAUAUUAGGAGGAACACCAGUGGCGAAGGCGACUUUCUGGACUGUACCUGACGCUGAGGCGCGAAAGCGUGGGGAGCGAACGGG